rnacentral:rRNA from 1 species
GACGAACGCUGGCGGCGUGCUUAACACAUGCAAGUCGAACGGAAAGGCCCUGCUUUUGUGGGGUGCUCGAGUGGCGAACGGGUGAGUAACACGUGAGUAACCUGCCCUUGACUUUGGGAUAACUUCAGGAAACUGGGGCUAAUACCGGAUAGGAGCUCCUGCUGCAUGGUGGGGGUUGGAAAGUUUCGGCGGUUGGGGAUGGACUCGCGGCUUAUCAGCUUGUUGGUGGGGUAGUGGCUUACCAAGGCUUUGACGGGUAGCCGGCCUGAGAGGGUGACCGGCCACAUUGGGACUGGGAUCCGGCCCAGACUCCUACGGGAGGCAGCAGUGGGGAAUAUUGCACAAUGGGCGGAAGCCUGAUGCAGCAACGCCGCGUGCGGGAUGACGGCCUUCGGGUUGUAAACCGCUUUCGCCUGUGACGAAGCGUGAGUGACGGUAAUGGGUAAAGAAGCACCGGCUAACUAC